UUCAAUGAGAUUUUUUGGUUUGUUUGGUUUGUUGAAAUGUAAUCUCUGUUUUAAGAAUUCAUUCUCAUUUGGGCUUCGUCACAUUAUGUAGUCUGAGUGGCGAUUGCCCUUGCUCUGUGAUCUUCUGCUUCAUCAUAAUUGCUUAUCCAUGUUGCUUCUUUUGUAAAUGGGAUUCAUUUGUUUGUAAUAAUUAAGGAUUCGUUGAAGUGUUAUGCAGAUUCAGGUAUUGACUGUGCUGUAAUUUAUUUAUUUGGACAGGGAUUUGUGUGCUUGAUGUAUAUGUGUACUUGGGUCAUGCUAGGUCAUUGCCUAUCAAGUGUUUGAUAAAAUGCCAGCCGGUUGGGCUAUCAAGUUUUCGGGAAUGCUUCUGUCUUGUUCCAUAUUUGUUUAGAUUGAUCUAUAUUCAUUCAUGUUGGGAUAGGGCUCAAGAAAAAAAAUGCUGCUGUUGGCUAUAGAUGUGGAGACUGAGAAAUAGAAGAUUAGUUGGUGCAAAUAUCUUGGUUUGAGGAGGGUAGGGUAUUAGAAGAAGGACCUAACUAUGGAAAGCUUAAUCUACUGCUGUUGGAGGUUUCUGUCUUGUUUUAGUCUGCUGUAUUUAAACUCCCAGCUGAGAAGUUGAUGGCUCUCUGUGAAAUACCCAGUGGCAGCUGUGAAGCCAACAUAGACGGAGUUUGGAAUCGUAGCUGCGAUGUCAAUUUGCAGGGAAAGAAUCUUCACAAGUCAAUUCCACUGCUGUUGAGACUCGCAGCUAUUAGUGGAUUAUCUACACUUCUUGUGUCGACAGCAAUGUGAUUCGCAUCAAUGUCAAAAUCGUUCUU